rnacentral:misc_RNA from 1 species
GAUGAAGAACGCAGCGAAAUGCGAUAAGUAGUGUGAAUUGCAGAAUUCAGUGAAUCAUCGAAUCUUUGAACGCACAUUGCGCCCCUUGGUAUUCCAUGGGGCAUGCCUGUUCGAGCGUCAUUUGUACCUUCAAGCUCUGCUUGGUGUUGGGUGUUUGUCUCGCCUCUGCGUGUAGACUCGCCUCAAAACAAUUGGCAUCCGGCGUAUUGAUUUCGGAGCGCAGUACAUCUCGCGCUUUGCACUCAUAACGACGACGUCCAAAAGUACAUUUUUACACUCUUGACCUCGGAUCAGGUAGGGAUACCCGCUGAACUUAAGCAUAUCAAUAAGCGGAGGA